rnacentral:rRNA from 1 species
AUUGAACGCUGGCGGCAUGCCUAACACAUGCAAGUCGAACGGUAACACGCCGAGAGUUUCCGACUAGUGGUGGAGGGGGGCGGAAGGGUUCGGAAUGCAUCCAGUCCUGGUGUUUCACGGCUCGUAACGGUAGCUAAUACCGCCUACGACCUAAUACUGCAAACGGGAGACCGCAAGGGAUCUCGCGAUUUUAGCCGCCGAUGUCAGAUUAGGUAGUUGGUGGGGUAAAGGCUGACCAAGGCAACGAUCCGUAGCUGGUCUGAGAGGACGACCAGCCACACUGGAACUGAGACACGGUCCAGACUCCUACGGGAGGCAGCAGUGGGGAAUUUUGGACAAUGGGCGCAAGCCUGAUCCAGCAAUGCCGCGUGCGGGAAGAAGGCCUUCGGGUUGUAAACUGCUUUUGUUCGGAAAGAAACGGCGCUGGUUAAUACCCGGGGGUAAUGACGGUACCGAAAGAAUAAGCACCGGCUAACUACGUG